rnacentral:rRNA from 1 species
GACGAACGCUGCGGCGUGCUUAACACCUGCAAGUCGUACGCAGUGGCGAACGGGUGCGUAAUACGUGGGUAACCUGCCCUCGUUUUUGGGAUAAGCCUUGGAAACGGGGUCUAAUACCGAACAAAGGGUGAUGGGCUCGCGGCCUAUCAGCUUGUUGGUGGGGUGAUGGCCUACCAAGGCGGUGACGGGUAGCCGGCCUGAGAGGGUGAACGGCGACGGUGGGGCGGGGAUACGGCCCAGGCUAGUAAGGGUGGCAGCGGUGGGGAACAUUGCACAAGGGGCGAGAGCCGGAUGAAGCUACGCUGCGUGGGGGAUGAAGGCUGUCGGGUUGUAAACGGGAUCUGCUAUAGAACGGGUAGGAGGAGAGGAAGCUCCGGCUUGCUACGGGGCAGCAGCCGCGGUAAUAC